GAUGAACGCUGGCGGCGUGCCUAAUACAUGCAAGUCGAGCGAACGGACGAGAAGCUUGCUCCUCUGACGUUAGCGGCGGACGGGUGAGUAACACGUGGAUAACCUACCUAUAAGACUGGGAUAACUUCGGGAAACCGUAGCUAAUACCGGAUAAUAUAUUGAACCGCAUGGUUCAAUAGUGAAAGACGGUCUUGCUGUCACUUAUAGAUGGAUCCGCGCUGCAUUAGCUAGUUGGUAAGGUAACGGCUUACCAAGGCAACGAUGCAUAGCCGACCUGAGAGGGUGAUCGGCCACACUGGAACUGAGACACGGUCCAGACUCCUACGGGAGGCAGCAGUAGGGAAUCUUCCGCAAUGGGCGAAAGCCUGACGGAGCAACGCCGCGUGAGUGAUGAAGGUCUUCGGAUCGUAAAACUCUGUUAUUAGGGAAGAACAUAUGUGUAAGUAACUGUGCACAUCUUGACGGUACCUAAUCAGAAAGCCACGGCUAACUACGUG
rnacentral:rRNA from 1 species